rnacentral:rRNA from 1 species
AGAGAAAAGGAACAACUGAGUAUCAGAAAGAAAAGAGGGAGUAAAGUAGAAGAGAAAGAUCGAGAAAGAAAGAGAAAGAGAACGAGUAAUGUGAAUGAAAGCAGGAAAGUAUUUGAAGAAGAGAGUGUAAAGUGCGUACCUUUUGCAUAAUGUCCCAGCGAGUGAGAAAUAGGAAGCAAAAAGGAAGAAGAAGAAGUAGCCUAAGAAGACCCGAAGCUAGUUGAUCUUGUGCGAUCCAAGCGGUAAGGCUGAACCAGUGUCUGUGGAAAAAGACUUGGAAGAGAUGGCAUAAGGGGUGAAAGGUCAAUCAAAGCUAGUGAUAGCUGGUACUCCUCGAAAGCUAUAGAAGUAGCGUAUGCAAGGAGGAAGGAGAGGUAAGAGAAGGUAAAAGAGAGAAGGAAGAAGGCAGAGAGGGACUAGGAGCGAGAAGGUGUAAAGUCGAGAGGGAAAAAGCCCGGAAGCAAAGAUAAGGUAUCAAAGAAAAGAAAGAGGGAAAAGGAGAGGAAAGAGAGGGUAGGCUUAGAAGCAGCAAACCAGAGAGGAAGGCGUUAAAGCGUGAAGAAGAGAGGAUCCGAAAAAGAAGAGAAAAAGGGAAGAAAGAGGACCGAAUCAAGGAAGAGGGUAGAGGAGCAAAAAAGAGAAGAGAGAAUGCUGGGUGGAGUAGCGAGACGAGAAGAAGGGAAGAGAAGGAAAGAAAGAGGAAAGGGUUACGAGAGAAGAGAGUAAAAAGAGGAGAGUGUAAGACGGCGUCAUAAUGUAAGAACCGAAAGGAGGAGAAGAAAAGAGAGAGAAGAAGGAGAAAAGAAGAGGGAAGCCGUACCGAAGACCGACACAGGUACUCGAGGAGAAAGAAGACCCAAAAGGAGGUGAGAGAAAGCACGAUAAGGAACUAGGCAAAAGGAUAUGGUAACUGAGGAAGAACAUAUGAAAGAAGCUGCACCGACUGUUUAACAAAAACAAAGCACUCUGCAGGAAAGAGAGAAUGGUAAGUAUAGAGUGUGCGGCCUGCCAAAUAGUAGAGAAGAAAUAGAUGAAAGUGAGUAAAGCGAGUAGUGUAUGAGGUAUAGAGAAUGGCGGUCCUAACUGUAAGGAUCCAAAGGUAGCGAAGUAAAUAGGCGUUUGAAAGGCGUCAGGUAUGAAAGGAGAAACGAGUGUGGCACUGUCUAGUCGUGUUACUCAGCGAAACAGCAAUAACUGUGAAAAUGCAGUAAGAAAGCAGUAGGACGGAAAGACCCCAUAAUUCUUGACUAGAUAGGUAUAGGGAGGAGAGAGAAUCAUGAAGAAGAGGAGGUGGGGUAAGAGAGUGAAAGACCACUGCAUGAGGAGAAGGAAUCUGACUGAGAAAGGAAAAUAGGCUUAGGCUAGUUUGGCUGGGGAAGUAAAGCCUAAGAAAGAGUAAAUUAGGCAAGCAAAGGCAUGAGAGAAGUAUAAUAGCGGUAAGCAUGCUUGAAGAAAGAAGAAAGAGAUUUCGAAGAGGGAGUAACGAACUCAGCUAUAGGGAACAGGUGAAAGAAGAGAAGAGCACCGAACGAUCGAAGAAGAAACUUUGGGGGUAACAGGUUAAUGUGGUGUUAGAGAACGUAUCAAGCACCACGAUUGACACCUCGAUGUCGGUUCAUCACAUCCUAGGGCAGAAGAGGGUUCUAAGGGUUUGGCUGUUCGCCAAUGAAAGUGGUACGUGAACUGGGUUCAGAACGUCGUGAGACAGUUCGGUCCCUAUCCGCUGCAAGAAGGAGAGAGGAAAAGCUAAGCGAUUACUGGUACGAGAGGAACGUAAUGGGUUGACCAAGUGUGAGGAGCAAAGUCAAUGUAGCAAGAAGAGAAGAGGCGAAGGCAAUAGCGAAGAAAUCUAGAGGAAGGAAGCUGUAAGAAGAAGAGAAGGAUCGGCAG